GUGGGGAAUUUUGGACAAUGGGCGCAAGCCUGAUCCAGCCAUGCCGCGUGCAGGAUGAAGGCCUUCGGGUUGUAAACUGCUUUUGUACGGAACGAAAAGACUCCUUCUAAUAAAGGGGGUCCAUGACGGUACCGUAAGAAUAAGCACCGGCUAACUACGUGCCAGCAGCCGCGGUAAUACGUAGGGUGCAAGCGUUAAUCAGAAUUACUGGGAGUAAAGCGUGCGCAGGCGGUUAUAUAAGACAGAUGUGAAAUCCCCGGGCUCAACCUGGGAACUGCAUUUGUGACUGUAUAGCUAGAGUACGGUAGAGGGGGAUGGAAUUCCGCGUGUAGCAGUGAAAUGCGUAGAUAUGCGGAGGAACACCGAUGGCGAAGGCAAUCCCCUGGACCUGUACUGACGCUCAUGCACGAAAGCGUGGGGAGCAAACAGGAUUAGAUACCCGGGUAGUCC
rnacentral:rRNA from 1 species